rnacentral:rRNA from 1 species
GAAUUUUAUAUAAAAGUUUUAGGAUUAUUAGAUUAGGUUAGGGCUUUUAUAUUUAGUUGGGAUAAUUGUUAAAUUUAGGGAAUUUUAACUUUUAGAGAUAAAGAUUAAUGAAGGUAAAGGAAUGAUUUUUAGAUUAAGGAAGAAUUAAUUACCUUAGGGAUAACAGCGUAAUAUUUUUGGUGAGAUCAUAUCUAUGAAGAUGUUUGC